rnacentral:tRNA from 1 species
CAAGACGUAGCUUAAUUAAUUAAAGCACCUGGCUUACACCCAGAAGAUUUCU